ACUUGAUGAAUGCGAGGACAAAUAAUGAUUAAAGAUUGAAACCUAUCCCAGGCCUGAUAUAAAUUUUCCCUAGAUUUCUGUUUGAAACUCAAAAUUUCACUCCUCAACUU